CGGGAACCAAUAAUUUCUCGGUGGUCGUAUACUCGUAAUAAAAUUAAUUACAUUGGUGACACACGUCAUUCAUUAGUAUCAUUCUACGUGCAACCAACUACUUAGGCAAAAUGUAUUCUCUUAAAUGUAAAUGUACGUGUCCGAGGAAAUGCGCUAAGUUGUCGUUUUAGUCGUGCUGUCCGAUUAUGUCUAUCCGAAAAUUUGCUAGUCAGAUAAACACGCGAAGUCUCGUUGGUAAAUGCCUGUUAGAAAAAUAUAGAUUAUUGUUAUUAUGUGGGAUAUGUAUGGAUUAUAUCAUUAGAUAGGCAUGUUUUCCUAUCAGGUCGGGCUAUUGUCUAUCUAAAUUCAUUGUUGUAUGGAUUACCGAUUACAAAUUGUUUGUACCCGGAAAUUGUUGUUGUUUACUACAUAGGAACGAUAACUACGGUUUCAAUACUCAUGUUUAGGCCAGGAUAAAGGCUGUUUAUGCAGUAAGGAAGGAAAGUUGUGAACAGUCAGUAAAUAAAAAUGGACAAUAUACCAAGCACAAAUGGUAUACCAAGCACAAAUGGAAGGAGUACAAACAAUAUUUUAAACCAUUACGUGAUGCCUGUUUAACACGGAUAUACAUACAAGCUAAAUUACUUAGCUAGUCAAGUGGAUUGUAUAAAUCAAAUUUAUCCAGAGCCUCUGGGAAUGUGGAAUAGAAACUUGAAAGCAACAAGUUUAGAAACUAGAAUGACUUUAAUUAAUAACAGCUACAAAUGUCACAAUAAUUGUUUUAACAUGAACUUUCCAUUUGAUCCAUCACAAAGCAGGAAAAUUCACAAAUGCUGGAAUCCUAAAACUUAUAUACAAAUUAGACACACCUUGUCUAUUGGGACAGGCCUUGUCACAAACAAACAGUAAUUGCCUGUAACAAAACUAGGAGACAUACAAAAGGAAUUGUUCAAAAAAUAUCAGCUGCGUGGCACUUACCAGGACAUUAGCUUAGUAUGUCAUGACAGGACAGUGAGUAAGAUGACAAUAUUACAAUAGCAAGAGGAGAAAUAUAAAUAUACUCUCUUAUAGUAAUAUGUAUUACUUUUUGUUUGCAAAAGUGUUUUAAUAACUUGUAACACUAACAUGUGUAACAGAAAACACUAAUAUAUGUAAUAUAAGUAAUUAAGCCGAGACUGGAAAGAUGUUUGUUCAAAUGUAGUUUUAUCAAUAGACUUACGCAAAUGGAAACCAAGAAGCAGUCAGCUCCUUAAUAUCGAAGAACAAUUAAUCAGGGGAUGUCUCAGUAAUGGUCUUCACAUAAACAUAAAACACUUUUUCAGCAGUGACAAUAUUAUUCCAUGCUUCAUUUAGGGGAUGUUCAGUUGCAAUGAUACUGGUUAUAUUGUGUGAAUUAGCCAUAUUUUGUUUUUACAUGUUGAAAGUUGCAUAAAUAGUGCAAUGAAUUUGGGCAGUAUGAACUUUGAGCAAUCAAUGUUUCCUAAAUUCAACUGAUGUACUUUUAUAUGUUAUAUAAAUUGCAUAGUCAGCCAGGUCAUGUAAUCCAACGCUUUCCCGUACUUUUCUCUCAAAGAGUUUUUAGGGUUUUGGUGCGCGGAUUACAAAUAAAACUUGUACAUGAUUUUAUUUUGCUUAUUCUCUGUUCAUUGCACUAUUUACUGUUUAUGCCACGAAGAACUAACUUGUUCAUAAUAAGUUAUUCUGAUUCAUGUCAUUCACAUUACCGUCUAUGUUACAUAUUUUGGAUGGACUUUUACAUAUUUAUGUUUUAGGACCAUGUUAGACUGGCUUUAGCCAAAUACGCUAUUCUACUUUAUAAAAAAAAAAAGUUACUGAUUUGAAUAUGAAAUCAUUCUGAUAUUUAUCCUUUUCCUGGAAAAAUGUUUUACGAAGUUUCAGUUCUAUAUAUAAUUGGAAACAUUAUUUCUUAUGAUUCUGUUGUUACCUCUGAAUGUAUUGAGUAGAAAAUGAAAAGAUAAAUGCAAUGAUUUAACUUUUAAGAUUAAGUAAACUAUUAUAUACAUUAAUUUAGGAUUCUGUCGCACUGAUAAGGAUCUCCAACUGACAUCGAGUAAGCAUGUGUAUUUACCAUCACUUAUCCAAUUCAAGCCUAAAUUCAUCUCAUUGAUACGUUGAAUCUUGUAGAUUUUAACUUUAGUAUACUACGGGUGACUACAGUCGCAAUGCUGCUUGUCCUUGGUAACUUGGGUGGCUGUGGUCACAAUGCUCCUUAAGUAGUUUAAGUUUUUGGCGUCUACAUGCUAAAUUUGCCAGGAGUUAAUUUACCUAAAUCAAACAUUUGAGUGGAUAAGGCAGUUUUUGCAGUGAUAAUUGAGAUCUUGUAGAUUUCAACUUGCUGUACUAUGGGUGACUGUGGUCACAAUGCUCCUUAGGUAUUUUGGGUUGUCGUCUACACCCUUAAAUUAUCCUAACUGCUUUUGCCUAAAUCCGAUUAACAUUUUUGUUAAUAAGGUGUAUGUUAUUGUCAUAAUACAACUAAACGGGGAUAAUGUUACAACACACGGGUUAGUUUCAUAGCAGGAGAGAUGUAUGCUACUAUGGCAGUUUUAAGUGUGACAACUUUUUCUACGGUUGUAUGUUGUUGUGGUUGUGAUGUAUUCUGCUAGGUCGGUUGACAGUAUAUCGAACCAUUGGUUGCUUGUCUGUUGUUAAAGUGAUACUAACAGCUAGCUCUGUUAACACUUUAGUGUGUUAACCGCUAGGUCAGUUAAAUUGUGUUAACCGCUAGGUCGGUUAAAGUGUGUUAACCGCUAGGUCGGUUAAAGUGUGUUAACCGCUAGGUCGGUUUAAAGUGUGUUAACCGCUAGGUCGGUUUAAAGUGUUAACCGCUAGGUCGGUUAAAGUGUGUUAACCGCUAGGUCGGUUAAAGUGUGUUAACCGCUAGGUCGGUUAUAGUGUGUUAACAGCUGUGUCGAUUUAAAGUGUGUUACCGCUAUGUCGGUUAACGGAUAGGUCAGUUUACUGUGUGAACUAGGUUUUGCCCAUUACUACGUAGCGUAAUUCCUAGUUUCACAAGUCCGCAGUCUGCAGUUGCUAUUUUAAUCAAUUUAUUGAAAACAUGCGCUUGCUUGCUCGUCAGUCAGUCAGUUGGCCUGAUAUCAUGCGGCCUUUUCUGCCACUUAUUAAUAUGAUUGAUAUACAAUUUUGUUCAAUACCCUUUGGUGUAACUUGUUUGUAUGUUGAAGUGUUGACCUGGAAUAAAGUGUUAUCGCUU